rnacentral:tRNA from 1 species
AUGACCAUAGGUUAACGGUAGACUCCCCGUCUUCCAAACGGAUUGUGCCGAUUCGAAUUCGGCUGGUCAUA